GAGUUUGAUCAUGGCUCAGAUUGAACGCUGGCGGCAUGCCUUACACAUGCAAGUCGAACGGCAGCAUGAUCUAGCUUGCUAGAUUGAUGGCGAGUGGCGAACGGGUGAGUAAUACAUCGGAACGUGCCCUGUAGUGGGGAUAACUAGUCGAAAGAUUAGCUAAUACCGCAUACGACCUGAGGGUGAAAGUGGGGGACCGCAAGGCCUCAUGCUAUAGGAGCGGCCGAUGUCUGAUUAGCUAGUUGGUGGGGUAAAGGCCCACCAAGGCGACGAUCAGUAGCUGGUCUGAGAGGACGAUCAGCCACACUGGGACUGAGACACGGCCCAGACUCCUACGGGAGGCAGCAGUGGGGAAUUUUGGACAAUGGGCGAAAGCCUGAUCCAGCAAUGCCGCGUGUGUGAGAA
rnacentral:rRNA from 1 species